AAAGAGCGCACAAGCCAUUUCUCAUAAAGUUUGAAAAUUUCCCCAAGACUUCGACAGAUGAAAUUAUGUCGGAGUUAGAUUUUAGUGCGACGGACGAUGAAAGUCUUCAUCUACAAAUUGACGAGACAAUGGAAACAGAGACGGACGAAAGCCUGGAAACAGGAAAAAGGGACGCCUUUCGUUCGAUGACUUCCGAUUCAGACUCCGAGUCUAUCUUGACAAAGAAACCCUCUGCAAGCUUAAGGCGGUCACCCAGAAAGAAAUCACAAAAAGCAACCCAGAGAAGUGUUCUCAUGCCAAAUUCAGAAACUGAUAAUGAUACCACAAAGGAAAUUACAACAAGCACUCCUUUGAGGCGGUCACCUAGGAAACGAAGGCAAGAAACAAGAAGACUUGCAAUUGCAUGUGCUCAAGAAGACACAGAAUCAGAAGAUGAAACAUACUUAUCUGCUGCAACUAAUAUGCAAAAAGAGAAAACUGUGAAAUCAAAGAAAUCAAAGACCCAGUCUGGACAAUCUGAAAGACUUUCCUCUUUGAAUAGCUCAAAAUCUAGUGGAAAAAAACCAAGGUCUACAUGGGCAUAUUAAAGAAAUACUGCAAAACCAAAGAGAAAUUCUUAGUCAUUUAGGAGUUUUGACGAAGGAGUUAAAGGGACUUCGAACAGACAUUGAUAACAAAAGAGAUGAAGUUAAGGAACCAGUAUCUGUUCCAAAUCGAAUAAGGAAUGCUGUGAAAGAAUGUUUUGCAAAUGGAGAGGAGAUAGAGCUGAAAUGGGAUUAUAAAAAAAGAUUCUAUGAUGAAGUCAACUCUGAAUUCACAGAUUAUAUAAAAAGAAGUGUGAAGGGUGCUGCUCCUGAUGUCACAAAUGAAGUUUUGGAUACUGCUGUAAAACGAUACUUUACAUAAAAAAAAGAAGCUGCUAACAGGAAAUCAAGAAAUAAAGAAACACUACAUAAGCAGAGGCAGGCCACAUACGAGAGGAAGAAAGAGAAGGUACGACGCAGAAUUCAGGCUGCUGAGAAAAAGAACUGGACAACGGAAAAGAAGAACAUGGUUUUAGGGGUACUGAAGUCCAAAGACUCGCACAAACUGAUGUCCAGUGACGAGGAGGCAGAUGAAGGUUUCAUCUCGCAUCCAUACUCUUGGGAGAGUGAUGCUUGGAGGAACAUUAAGCAGAGCCUGGACAAGAAAUACCAGGAAACAUGCUCUUCGAGGAGCAGGCGCCUUCUCCAGAAGAGACAAAUUGGCUCAGUUCGAGAGCAAGAGAAACCAAAGCUAAAGGAGGAAUUUUCGUGGAUGUUUAAUUAAAAAACAUUUUGAAUUAAUGACUGUUCCCGCUACGAUUGUAAAUACUUUUUCUGUGACAGUAUUUUUUUGUACAUGUACAUUCUGAAAUUAUGAAAUAAAAAUAAAAUAUAUGACUU
rnacentral:misc_RNA from 1 species